rnacentral:rRNA from 1 species
UACGGAGGAUCCAAGCGUUAUCCGGAUUUAUUGGGUUUAAAGGGUGCGUAGGCGGUUUUAUAAGUUAGAGGUGAAAUCUCGGGGCUCAACUCCGAAAUUGCCUCUAAUACUGUAGGACUAGAGAGUAGUUGCGGUAGGCGGAAUGUAUGGUGUAGCGGUGAAAUGCUUAGAGAUCAUACAGAACACCGAUUGCGAAGGCAGCUUACCAAACUAUAUCUGACGUUGAGGCACGAAAGCGUGGGGAGCAAACAGG